rnacentral:rRNA from 1 species
GAUGAACGCUAGCUACAGGCUUAACACAUGCAAGUCGAGGGGUAACGAGAGGAAAGCUUGCUUUCCUUGUCGACGACCGGCGCACGGGUGAGUAACGCGUAUCCAACCUGCCCCCAACUAAGGAAUAACCUUGCGAAAGUAAGACUAAUACCUUAUAAUUUCCUCAGAUGUCAUCUGACGAGGAAUAAAGAUUUAUCAGUUGUGGAUGGGGAUGCGUCUGAUUUGCUUGUUGGCGGGGUAACGGCCCACCAAGGCAACGAUCAGUAGGGGUUCUGAGAGGGAGGUCCCCCGCAUUGGAAAUGGGACACGGUCCAAACUCCUACGGGAGGCAGCAGUGAGGAAUAUUGGUCAAUGGGCGAAAGCCUGAACCAGCCAGGUAGCGUGCAGGAUGACGGCCCUAUGGGUUGUAAACUGCUUUUAUACAGGAAUAAAGUUAGCCACGUGUGGUUAUUUGUAGGUACUGUAUGAAUAAGGACCGGCUAAUUCCGUGCCAGCCGCCGCGGUAA